GGUCUAACCACCGGGAUGUUCAUAACCCUUUGUUGUCCGACUCUGUUGCCUCCGGGGCGACCCUGCCUUCGGGCGGGGGCUCCGGGUGGACACUUCAAACUCUUGCGUAACUUUGCAGUCUGAGUAAACUUAAUUAAUAAAUUAAAACUUUUAACAACGGAUCUCUUGGUUCUGGCAUCGAUGAAGAACGCAGCGAAAUGCGAUAAGUAAUGUGAAUUGCAGAAUUCAGUGAAUCAUCGAAUCUUUGAACGCACAUUGCGCCCCCUGGUAUUCCGGGGGGCAUGCCUGUUCGAGCGUCAUUUCACCACUCAAGCCUCGCUUGGUAUUGGGCAACGCGGUCCGCCGCGUGCCUCAAAUCGACCGGCUGGGUCUUCUGUCCCCUAAGCGUUGUGGAAACUAUUCGCUAAAGGGUGUUCGGGAGGCUACGCCGUAAAACAACCCCAUUUCUAAGGUUGACCUCGGAUCAGGUAGGGAUACCCGCUGAACUUAAGCAUAUCAAUAAGCGGAGGAAAAGAAACCAACAGGGAUUGCUCUAGUAACGGCGAGUGAAGCAGCAAUAGCUCAAAUUUGAAAUCUGGCGUCUUCGACGUCCGAGUUGUAAUUUGUAGAGGAUGCUUCUGAGUAACCACCGACCUAAGUUCCUUGGAACAGGACGUCAUAGAGGGUGAGAAUCCCGUAUGCGGUCGGAAAGGUGCUCUAUACGUAGCUCCUUCGACGAGUCGAGUUGUUUGGGAAUGCAGCUCUAAAUGGGAGGUAAAUUUCUUCUAAAGCUAAAUAUUGGCCAGAGACCGAUAGCGCACAAGUAGAGUGAUCGAAAGAUGAAAAGCACUUUGGAAAGAGAGUUAAAAAGCACGUGAAAUUGUUAAAAGGGAAGGGAUUGCAACCAGACUUGCUCGCGGUGUUCCGCCGGUCUUCUGACCGGUCUACUCGCCGCGUUGCAGGCCAGCAUCGUCUGGUGCCGCUGGAUAAGACUUGAGGAAUGUAGCUCCCUCGGGAGUGUUAUAGCCUCUUGUGAUGCAGCGAGCGCC
rnacentral:rRNA from 1 species